rnacentral:rRNA from 1 species
AACGAACACUGGCGGCAUGCCUAACACAUGCAAGUCGAACGAGACCUUCGAGUCUAGUGGCGCACGGGUGCGUAACGCGUGGGAACCUGCCCUUAGGUUCGGAAUAACUCCCCGAAAGGGGUGCUAAUACCGGAUAAUGUCUUCGGACCAAAGAUUUAUCGCCUUUGGAUGGGCCCGCGUUGGAUUAGCUAGUUGGUAGGGUAAAAGCCUACCAAGGCGACGAUCCAUAGCUGGUCUGAGAGGAUGAUCAGCCACACUGGGACUGAGACACGGCCCAGACUCCUACGGGAGGCAGCAGUGGGGAAUAUUGGACAAUGGGCGAAAGCCUGAUCCAGCAAUGCCGCGUGAGUGAUGAAGGCCUUAGGGUUGUAAAGCUCUUUUACCCGGGAUGAUAAUGACAGUACCGGGAGAAUAAGCUCCGGCUAACUCCGUG